rnacentral:lncRNA from 1 species
CAGGACUGUGUGUCCUGUUUGUGUCCACGUUGUCUGGCCAGCCAACUCCACACCCCUGCUCAGGAGGAAGGGCCAGGAAUCAGGACAUCUGGGCUGUGAUGGGCUGUCCAUUCCUGUGGCACUCGGAGUAAGGGUUUAUGCACUCCAGCCAGCAGACUGUACCCUGGCCCUCACACUAGCACCCCAGAGCACAAAGCUAAACAGAAUCAACUUCUCUGAAUUUGAAGAGUCUUCUGUGAUUUGCCAGAACUGUUGUGAUGAAGAUUUUUCUUGGACUACUAGGCAGCCAAGCAAUUCCAAACCCUCCUUGGGACAUCUACUUCCAUUCCUUCCACUGGGUUCUGUCUGAGAGCCUGCAACCGGCAUCUCGUGCAGAUUUCAAAAUCGAAAUUCAGCAUUAUCGUAAUUACACAGAAAUAGCAUCAUAAUAUAUUGUCGUGGUUUGUUCUGUCUCAUUUGUAUUGCCAAAAAUUUUUUUUUUGUGGCCCAAGUCCCACUGAAUAGACAUCCUUACUGCACUGCCUUCAUUUUGUCAUGAACUUAUUUUUCCUGAGAAGUUUAAUUUAAGAGUUAAUAUCAAGGACUUUUCUG